rnacentral:rRNA from 1 species
CCAAGGAGUCUAACACGUGCGCAAGUCGUAGGGUUUCCCUCGAAGCCCGAAGGCGCAAUGAAAGUGAACCGUAGGCGGGAUCCCUGUUUUUGUGCGAGAGCACGACGGGGCGCACCGCCGGCCCGUCUCGUUUGGUCGGCCCCUCGUUUGUCAGUAUCCUUCUCCCGUCAGGGUGAUGGGUGCGGGACGGGGGUCGAUGGAGGCGGAGCGAGAGCGUACACGUUAGGACCCGAAAGACGGUGAACUAUUCCCGGACAGGACGAAGCCGGAGGAAACUCCGGUGGAGGUCCGUAGCGAUUCUGACGUGCAAAUCGAUCGUCGGAUCCGGGUAUA